rnacentral:rRNA from 1 species
AGUUUGAUCCUGGCUCAGGAUGAACGCUGGCGGCGUGCUUAACACAUGCAAGUCGAACGAUGAUCUCCAGCUUGCUGGGGGGAUUAGUGGCGAACGGGUGAGUAACACGUGAGUAACCUGCCCUUGACUCUGGGAUAAGCCUGGGAAACUGGGUCUAAUACCGGAUACGACCAUCUGGCGCAUGUCAUGGUGGUGGAAAGCUUUUGUGGUUUUGGAUGGACUCGCGGCCUAUCAGCUUGUUGGUGGGGUAAUGGCCUACCAAGGCGACGACGGGUAGCCGGCCUGAGAGGGUGACCGGCCACACUGGGACUGAGACACGGCCCAGACUCCUACGGGAGGCAGCAGUGGGGAAUAUUGCACAAUGGGCGCAAGCCUGAUGCAGCGACGCCGCGUGAGGGAUGACGGCCUUCGGGUUGUAAACCUCUUUCAGUAGGGAAGAAGCGUAAGUGACGGUACCUGCAGAAGAAGCGCCGGCUAACUACGUGCCAGCAGCCGCGGUAAUACGUAGGGCGCAAGCGUUAUCCGGAAUUAUUGGGCGUAAAGAGCUCGUAGGCGGUUUGUCGCGUCUGCUGUGAAAGACCGGGGCUCAACUCCGGUUCUGCAGUGGGUACGGGCAGACUAGAGUGAUGUAGGGGAGACUGGAAUUCCUGGUGUAGCGGUGAAAUGCGCAGAUAUCAGGAGGAACACCGAUGGCGAAGGCAGGUCUCUGGGCAUUAACUGACGCUGAGGAGCGAAAGCAUGGGGAGCGAACAGGAUUAGAUACCCUGGUAGUCCAUGCCGUAAACGUUGGGCACUAGGUGUGGGGGACAUUCCACGUUUUCCGCGCCGUAGCUAACGCAUUAAGUGCCCCGCCUGGGGAGUACGGCCGCAAGGCUAAAACUCAAAGGAAUUGACGG